rnacentral:misc_RNA from 1 species
UUAACCGCUUGAUGACAUGUGA